rnacentral:sRNA from 1 species
GCUGGGUGUGGUGGCGCACACCUGUAAUCCCAGCUACUUGGGAGGCUGAGGCAGGAGAAUUGCUUGAGCCCGGGAGGCAGAGGUUGCAGUGAGCUAGGAUCAUGCCACUGCACUCCAGCCUGGGUGACAGAGUGAGACUCAGUCUCCA